AUUGAACGCUGGCGGAAUGCUUUACACAUGCAAGUCGAACGGCAGCACGGACUUCGGUCUGGUGGCGAGUGGCGAACGGGUGAGUAAUGUAUCGGAACGUGCCCAGUCGUGGGGGAUAACGUAGUGAAAAUUACGCUAAUACCGAAUAAGAUCUAUGGAUGAAAGCGUGGGAACGCAAGACCUCGCGCGAUUGGAGCGGCCGAUACCAGAUUAGGUAGUUGGUGGGGUAAAGGCCCACCAAGCCAAAGAUCUGUAGCUGGUCUGAGAGGACGACCAGCCACACUGGAACUGAGACACGGUCCAGAUUCCUACGGGAGGCAGCAGUGGGGAAUUUUGGACAAUGGGCGAAAGCCUGAUCCAGCCAUUCCGCGUGCAGGAUGAAGGCCCUCGGGUUGUAAACUGCUUUUGUACAGAACGAAAAGGUUUCUACUAAUACUAGGAGCUCAUGACGGUACUGUAAGAAUCAGCACCGGCUAACUACGUGCCAGCCGCCGCAGUAA
rnacentral:rRNA from 1 species